rnacentral:rRNA from 1 species
UACAGAGGGUGCGAGCGUUGUCCGGAAUCACUGGGCGUAAAGGGCGCGUAGGCGGCGCGGUAAGCGUGCGGUGAAAGCCCGGGGCUCAACCCCGGGUCGGCCGUGCGGACUGCCGGGCUGGAGCACUGUAGAGGCAGGUGGAAUUCCGGGUGUAGCGGUGGAAUGCGCAGAUAUCAGGAGGAACACCGGUGGCGAAGGCGGGUCUCUGGGCAGUAACUGACGCUGAGGAGCGAAAGCGUGGGGAGCGAACAGG